AUUGAACGCUGGCGGCAUGCCUUACACAUGCAAGUCGAACGGCAGCACGGGUGCUUGCACCUGGUGGCGAGUGGCGAACGGGUGAGUAAUACAUCGGAACAUGUCCUGUAGUGGGGGAUAGCCCGGCGAAAGCCGGAUUAAUACCGCAUACGAUCUACGGAUGAAAGCGGGGGACCUUCGGGCCUCGCGCUAUAGGGUUGGCCGAUGGCUGAUUAGCUAGUUGGUGGGGUAAAGGCCUACCAAGGCGACGAUCAGUAGCUGGUCUGAGAGGACGACCAGCCACACUGGGACUGAGACACGGCCCAGACUACUACGGGAGGCAGCAGUGGGGAAUUUUGGACAAUGGGCGAAAGCCUGAUCCAGCAAUGCCGCGUGUGUGAAGAAGGCCUUCGGGUUGUAAAGCACUUUUGUCCGGAAAGAAAUCCUUGGCCCUAAUACGGUCGGGGGAUGACGGUACCGGAAGAAUAAGCACCGGCUAACUACGUG
rnacentral:rRNA from 1 species